AUAUUGGGCGUAAGCGCGCGCAGGCGGUUCCUUAAGUCUGAUGUGAAAUCUCGCGGCUCAACCGCGAGCGGCCAUUGGAAACUGGGGAACUUGAGUGCAGGAGAGGGGAGCGGAAUUCCACGUGUAGCGGUGAAAUGCGUAGAGAUGUGGAGGAACACCAGUGGCGAAGGCGGCUCUCUGGUCUGUAACUGACGCUGAGGCGCGAAAGCGUGGGGAGCGAACA
rnacentral:rRNA from 1 species